AGUGAACGCUGGCGGUAGGCCUAACACAUGCAAGUCGAACGGAAGCACAGUAAGAGUUUGCUCUUACGGGUGGCGACUGGCGGACGGGUGAGGCAUACAUCGGAAUCUACUUUUUCGUGGGGGAUAACGUAGGGAAACUUACGCUACUACCGCAUACGACCUACGGGUGAAAGCAGUGGAUCUUCGGACCUUUCGCGAUUGAAUGAGCUGAUGUCGGAUUAGCUAGUUGGCGGGGUAAAGGCCCACCAAGGCGACGAUCCGUAGCUGGUCUGAGAGGAUGAUCAGCCACACUGGAACUGAGACACGGUCCAGACUCCUACGGGAGGCAGCAGUGGGGAAUAUUGGACAAUGGGCGCAAGCCUGAUCCAGCAAUGCCGCGUGAGUGAUGAAGGUCUUCGGAUUGUAAAGCCCUUUUGUUGGGAAAGAAAAGCAGCGGGUGAAUCCAUCGCUGUUCUGACGGUACCCAAAGAAUAAGCAACGGCUAACUUCGUG
rnacentral:rRNA from 1 species